rnacentral:lncRNA from 1 species
UUUGCUCUUCAUUUCAACAUGUCUUUUCCUCUUACUCUUUGUGAUUUUCACUUGAUCCUUUUGAGUUUUGAUUCCAAAGUUCUUAAGAGACAGAGAUCCUAUUGGCUGGUGCAAGACCAUAGCAGUUGUGUGUGUGUGUGUGUGUGUGUGAGAGAGAGAGAGAGAGAGAGAGGGGGAGAGGGAGAGGGAGAGGGAGAGGGAGAGGGAGAGCGCUGAGUCACUGUCUCCCAUUUCUGGCUUCGCUUCUCACAUCCACAACCCAUGUGCUCUACUUCCAUUUUUUCCUCUCAUUCCUGUUCCAAGCACAUCUGAAGGUCAAAAGGAGCAUCUCGGAAUCCUCAAGAAACAAGAAGAAAACACACUUGGAUUUUCAAAUAUCUCGAUAUUUUAACUGUGUUUUUUAAAAAAGGAUAAACAGCUCUUUUAAUCAGAAAAAGUUCAGGCAUUAUAGUAUAAAUGAAAGAAUCUCAGUCAAAAAAGCUCAACAUUUGACUAUCUGGACAGCAAUAGAGCAUGCACUCAAAGUGAAAAGAAAAUGACAUGAUGCUUAAACAAUGUUUUAAAGUCCCCCCUGCCACCCAUUUUAGGGGGAGGGGGCAUGGGGAGGAGCUUGGAUGAUGAAAGUAAGAGCAUCCCAAGGGUGGAUGAAGACAUUAAAAGGCCCUCCAGACUAAGACUCCACCAUGAGCACCUUUCACCUUGCACUUCCCCGACCCUGCUUCCCUUGUCCAGGACUACCAACAGGAUGCUGGACCAGGCUGAGCUGGACAGCCAUAGCCAGGUAGCCAGUUGGAUCCCUCUCCAGUGAUAACAAAGGUCUGGAGUCUCAGAGGGCUUUUCCUAGGACAAGACGUACCUCCAGAUCAAGAAAUUAUUUCAGCUGUGGCAUGAUCAACAAGUUCUGGAGCGGAAGGAAACCUUUCUAAACCACAAAUAACAAAAAACAUCUAUCUAUUAUGUCAGAAGACAAAGUUGUCUUUCUAUUCUCUGUACAUAAAAUGGCAUUGUAAAAUUUUUACCAUGUGAAAAAAGAUCAAUGAGUAUAACGCCAAAAAUAUAGGGAAAAGAUGUAUUACAUAGAUGGGUCAGCACUUAAGUUGUAAUUGUAGCAAAAAUUGUUAAUUAAAAC